rnacentral:rRNA from 1 species
AACGGAGCUUAGAGAGCUUGCUUUUUAAGCUUAGUGGCGAACGGGUGAGUAACGCGCGAGUAACCUGCCCUAGAGUGGGGGACAACAGUUGGAAACGACUGCUAAUACCGCAUAAGCCCACGGCUCGGCAUCGAGCAGAGGGAAAAGGAGUGAUCCGCUUUGAGAUGGCCUCGCGUCCGAUUAGCUAGUUGGUGAGGUAACGGCCCACCAAGGCAACGAUCGGUAGCCGACCUGAGAGGGUGAUCGGCCACAUUGGGACUGAGACACGGCCCAAACUCC